rnacentral:lncRNA from 1 species
GCCUUGUCCUACGCGCCUCUCCCCCGCUCCCGGCACCUCUCCCGACUUCUCCAGCCCUCCUCUUGGCAGGAGUGGUCUCGAGGACUGAGACCACUGCUCUGUGUGCCUCCUUGAGCCCCACGCUAGUUUGCCCCGGUAUCCGCUUGGCCCUCAUCUCUGGAGCAUGUAAACCUGGGGAAGGGGUAGGGAGGUGCUUCCGGAAUCACAGGGAGUAGGGUCCG